UGCCAGACUCCUACGGGAGGCAGCAGUGGGGGAUAUUGCACAAUGGGGGGAACCCUGAUGCAGCGACGCCGCGUGGGUGAAGGAGUGCUUCGGCAUGUAAAGCCCUAUCGGCAGGGAAGAAGCAAGACGGUACCUGACUAAGAAGCCCCGGCUCACUACGUGCCCGCAGCCGCGGUAAUACGUAGGGGGCGAGCGUUAUCCGGAUUCACUGGGUGUAAAGGGAGCGUAGACGGCCAUGCAAGCCAGGGGGGAAAGCCCGGGGCCCAACUGCGGGACUGCUUUGGAAACUGCCCGGCUAGAGUGCUGGAGAGGUAAGCGGAAUUCCUAGUGUAGCGGUGAAAUGCGUAGAUAUUAGGAGGAACACCAGUGGCGAAGGCGGCUUACUGGACAGUAACUGACGUUGAGGCUCGAAAGCGUGGGGAGCAAACAGGAUUAGAUAC
rnacentral:rRNA from 1 species